UGGCUUUUAUUUGUGGGAAAGAAGUCAACAUGUGCUGUUUAUAUCUUAUCUAAUGCCAUUUAAUGUUAGAUUGUAUGCAUUAAUAUUAGUUCAGCUGUUAUGUGCUGCCACCUAGUGACCCCCUUUGGGAUAGUUGUCCAUAUGUUAAUUAUACACAUCAUUCAAGGUUAAACCUCCCCCUAAAGUUCACAGGAAGUGGAAGUGUAUCCAUCUUGAGCACACAGACAGCUCACAAGCAGAGGGACAGACCCUAGGAUCCUUCACCCUUACACAGGCCCUGGUUACAUAACCGUCUGUAAGUAAGAUGAUAGGUUUCCUGUAUGUGUUUACAUGUGUGAAUAUGUUGUACAGGUUGUGAUGCAAUGUUAUUAUAUUGUUUUACAGUUUUACAAAAUAAACUCUUCAUAAGGAUAAAGCAUUCAAGUUAUUCAACUCAUAGAGCAGUCUGAGUAUUCUUUGCUGAGUCUUAUGUGGAGUGUGUUAAGCUGGCUGGUUAACCUAUAUUACGCAAGGCACAGUAUAGUGUGGAAACAGUACAGUAAAAAGACGGUUGCAGCAGACCUGUAUACAGAAGUGACUGCAUCCUAAACAUGAGUCUGAGAUCGGGGAAGAAGUAUAUACCUGAUGAUGAGCCCCCCAUGAGACAGCAUGGCAGGGAGAAAGCUAGCACCCAGCAAGAUGAGUUACGGUCACAUGCAUCCAAAUCAUCUAGGUCUAGCAAGAUGUCUGCAGCGAGUUCCCUAGCACUCAAAGCACGAGCGAAGGCAGAGGCCACACGUGUACAGCUAGCCUUUGCAGAAAAAGAAGCUAAGGUGAAAAGAGCAAUCGCAGAAAAACAGGCUAGCAUGAAAAGAGAAAAGGCAGAAAGAGAAAGAGAAAUGGCAGAAGCAGAAGCAGAGCUGCAAAUCCUGCAGUGUCAGAGAGAAGCUGCCGCAGCAGCAGCAGAAGCUGCGGCCUACCUAGAAACAUACUCAUCAGAGAGUGAGGGAACCCAUGAAGGCCCGGAAAUGCCGGAGAAACCUCUUUCCCCUGCAGAACGCGCAAGUGAGUACGUUCAGCGGGUUUCUAGUAUGCCAACCACUGAGCGGUCGAUUAAAACUGAGCCAGCAGAAGUAUACAGGCCUAAGCCGGCAGCAGUUACAAGUACGCCAAGGCAGCACUACAGCGCCAGUGAUGUCAAACCAGCUAUAAAAUAUCCAGCAGAAUACCCAAGAGACAGAAUUCAGAGUUUCCCAUUGCCUCAGCCUAAAGAUUGUGCGCCUGAGCAACAAUGCAUACAAGAUAUCACUAAAUAUCUGCUACGCAAAGAAGCAGUUAACUCAAGCUUCAUCAAGUUUGAUGACUCCCCUGAAAAUUACUGGGCCUGGAAGUCCUCCUUCCAGAAUGCAAUCAAAGAUUUGAACCUUUCAGCCUCAGAGAUGCUUGACCUGAUGAUAAAAUGGCUAGGCACAGAGUCAGCCGAACAUGCAAAAAGUAUGCGCAGAGUGCAUUUGUUCAACCCUUCAGCAGGACUUGAUAUGGCUUGGCAGAGACUAGAGAAAAAAUAUGGCUCACCUGAAGUAAUUCAGCGAACAUUACAAAAAAGGUUAGAUGCCUUCCCCAAGCUGACCAACAAAGAUGCCAAAAAACUAGAACAAUUGGGAGAUCUUCUUCUGGAGAUAGAGUGUGCCAAAGAAGAGGGAUAUCUGAGAGGUUUAACAUACUUGGACAAUGCUAUUGGUCUUAAUCCCACGGUGGAGAAGCUACCAUACCACAUGCAAUUAAAGUGGGCAUCUGUUGGAACCAAGUAUAAAGCAGAAACAGGAGAAGAUUUUCCCCCUUUCUUUGUGUUUUCCAGGUUUGUGCAGCAACAAGCACAGAUGAAGAAUGACCCCAGCUUUGCCUUUUACAGCAACCGCGAUCAAUCACCUAAACCUGAAAGGCCUUACAGAUACCACGGUAAGACCUCUGUGUCCACACACAAAACAUUUGUCCCUACAGAAACCUCACACUCUCAAACCAGCAGCAAGGAGGGCAGUAUAGAGGGCCCUGAUAGACAAUGUCCAAUUCACCAAAAGCCCCAUCCUUUAAAAAGGUGUAAAGGAUUCAGAGGCAAACCUAUAGGUGAAAGGAUGUAUUUUCUCAGACAGAACGGCAUCUGCUUCAAGUGCUGUGAAACCACCAAACACAUAGCCAGAGACUGUAAAAUAUCAGUGAAGUGCUCAGAAUGUGGCAGUGAGAAACAUAUUGCAGCUUUACACCCUGACUUACCUGCGCCACUAGCAGAGACUGUACAAGCCGGGACAGAUCACGGCAAGGAGCUUAAUGACAGCUCACCUCCUCCAGUAAUGUCUAAGUGCACUGAAAUCUGUGGCACAGGCAAGAGCUUCCGAUCAUGCUCUAAAAUAUGUUUAGUGACUGUGUUCCCCUCUGGACAAAGAGAGCGAGCAGUGAAAAUGUACGCAGUACUCGAUGAACAAAGCAACCGAUCUCUUGCAAAGUCAGACUUUUUCAACAUCUUCAACAUUAAAACUACUGUUGCUCCAUAUACUUUAAAGACUUGUGCAGGUGUUACAGAGACUGCAGGCAGAAGAGCCACAAACUUCAUUGUUGAAUCCUUUGACGGAAAAACACAGCUCCCUUUGCCAGCAUUAAUAGAAUGUGAUAUGUUACCAGAUGACAAGGAAGAAAUCCCUUCUCCAGAAGUAGCUUAUUACCAUCUCCACCUCCGUCCAAUUGCCAACCUCAUACCAGCUAUUGAUCCUGAGGCUUCCAUACUUUUGCUCUUAGGAAGAGACAUCUUACAAGCACACAAGGUGCAUGAGAAAAUCAAUGGUCCCUUUAAUGCCCCUUACGCACAAAGACUUGAAUUAGGAUGGGUAAUAGUAGGAGAAGUUUGCCUGGGAUCUACACACCAGACUAAUAGAGUCAGUACCUUAAGAACAUCUGUGUUGCCGAAUGGGCGUACCACCUUGUUGAACCCAUGUCAGAACCGAUUCACAGUCAAAGAAAGUUUUGAUAACCUAACGCAUUUCAGUGACUCUUCUGUGUGCGGCCAAGAAGACAUCAGCUUCAAUCCAGAGACUGAUAAGCUAGGAACAACAGUGUUUCAAAAAUCAAAGAAUGAUGACAAGCAAGCUCUAUCCAUAGAAGAUCAAGUGUUUCUUCAGAUCAUGGACAAAGACACCUAUCAAGAUGACAGCCACAGCUGGGUUGCUCCAUUGCCUUUUCGUACACCCAGGUGUAAAUUGCCUUCCAACAGAGAGCAAGCCAUGGUACGUCUCGCCUCACUUCGCAGAACUCUGCAUGGUAAGCCAGGAAUGAAAAGAGACUUCACAGAGUUCAUUAAAAAGAUGCUGGACAAUGACCACGCAGAGAUUGCGAGACCACUGGAACAAGGUAAAGAACACUGGUAUCUGCCGAUGUUUGGCGUUUACCAUCCACACAAACCUGAUCAAAUAAGAGUUGUAUUUGACUCCAGUGCUGAGUGUGAAGGGGUCUCUUUAAAUAAUGUACUGUUAAGUGGCCCUGACUUAAACAACACAUUGUUAGGGGUUCUCAUACGCUUUAGGAAAGAACCUAUUGCCUUUACAGCAGAUGUGCAACAGAUGUUUUACUGUUUCUUGGUGAGAGAAGACCACCGAGAUUAUUUACGUUUUCUGUGGUACAAGGACCAUGACAUAGACAAAGAAGUAGUUGAAUAUAGAAUGAGGGUCCAUGUCUUUGGAAACAGUCCCUCUCCUGCUGUUGCUAUAUACUGCAUGCGUAAAGCUGCUCUGACAAGUGCAGAACAAUUUGGACAAGAUGCCAAACACUUUGUGUUGAGACACUUCUAUGUAGAUGAUGGACUUGCAUCCGUCAGCACCCCGGAGAUAGCGAUUGACAUUCUGAACAAUGCAAAACAGAUGCUGGCAGAAUCUAAUCUGAGACUUCAUAAAAUUGCAUCAAAUAGCACACAGGUCAUGAACGCCUUUCCUGCUAAUGAUAGAGCUAAAGACCUCAAGGACCUUUGCCUGGGUACAGACACCCUGCCCCUUCAGAAAAGUUUGGGACUGAGCUGGGACCUAGAAAGAGACUCUUUCGUCUUUCAGGUAUCUUCCGAAGAAAAACCUUUCACUAAAAGAGGAGUCCUGUCUACAGUGAACAGCCUCUACGAUCCUCUUGGGUUUGUAGCACCUGUAACUAUAAAGGGUAAGGCACUAGUUCGUGAACUGUCAUCUAAAAAAUGUGAUUGGGAUGCAUUACUCCCACAAGAAAAACUACAUGAGUGGCUUCUAUGGAAGGAAUCCUUGCAAGCUUUGGAACACAUAGAGAUACCCCGGUGUUAUGUGUCUACUCCCCUGUCAGCAGUAAGUAGAAAAGAACUGUAUGUAUUUUCAGAUGCAUCCAACACAGCGAUAGGUGCUGUAGCCUACUUGAAAACAAUUGAUGUUUGCAAUAAAUGUUCGGUUGGAUUUGUUAUGGGGAAGUCUAAGUUAAGCCCCAAACCAGCACACACAAUUCCACGUCUGGAACUAUGUGCGGCUGUUCUAGCAGUAGAGUUGUACGAGCUCAUCAGAGAUGAAAUAGAUAAAGACUUAGAUGCUGUGCGAUUCUUUACAGAUAGCAAAACUGUACUAGGUUACAUCUGCAACACCUCCAGAAGGUUUUUCUUGUAUGUUGCCAACCGAGUGAAUAGAAUCAGGCAAGUAACCCAUCCUGAUCAGUGGGCUUAUGUGCCAACAGAACAAAAUCCUGCAGACUAUGCUUCAAGGCCUACAAAAACUAUUCAUCUGCAGAAUUCUAUAUGGUUCUCAGGCCCUCCAUUUCUCUACCACACAGACAGAGAGGAGUUAGGCAAUUCAGCAGAAAAUUACUCACUUAUAGAGCCUGAAGCUGAUCCUGAAAUUAAACCUACAGUUGCAAUGCUCCUGACUCAGAAAGUGAACUCUUUGUCAGCCCCUUUUGGUAAAUUUGAAACAACAGGACUUCAUGUAAAACAAUGGAAGCAAGUUCAAAAUCUGGCUGAUACUUUCUGGAAGAGAUGGAAAAGAGAGUACUUGUCCAACUUGCAAAGCCGCAGAAAGUGGACCCAAAAUCGCCCAAACAUCCAAGUGGGUGAUGUUGUGUUAGUGAAAGACAGUCAAGAAAGCAGGAAUGAAUGGCCUGUGGGACUCAUCAUCAACACUCUGCCAAGUAGAGACAGCAGGGUUAGGAAAGUGGAAGUAAAGAUUGUCAAACAAGGGACUGCCAAAACGUAUACAAGGCCAAUUUCAGACAUUGUUGUUCUUGUUUCUGAUAAUACUUGAAUUGUGUUCUGCAUAGCAGUAAGUUAUAUAGUGGCACAUUGAAAUAUGCCAGGCAGGGAGUGUGCUGUUUAUAUCUUAUCUAAUGCCAUUUAAUGUUAGAUUGUAUGCAUUAAUAUUAGUUCAGCUGUUAUGUGCUGCCACCUAGUGACCCCCUUUGGGAUAGUUGUCCAUAUGUUAAUUAUACACAUCAUUCAAGGUUAAACCUCCCCCUAAAGUUCACAGGAAGUGGAAGUGUAUCCAUCUUGAGCACACAGACAGCUCACAAGCAGAGGGACAGACCCUAGGAUCCUUCACCCUUACACAGGCCCUGGUUACAUAACCGUCUUUUUACAAAAUAAACUCUUCAUAAGGAUAAAGCAUUCAAGUUAUUCAACUCAUAGAGCAGUCUGAGUAUUCUUUGCUGAGUCUUAUGUGGAGUGUGUUAAGCUGGCUGGUUAACCUAUAUUACGCAAGGCACAGUAUAGUGUGGAAACA